AAAUUAACUGUUUGUUUAUUAUUGUUUUUCAGGUGUGUUAAUUGGUGCGAAGAUGGAUUUAAAGGAGAGAAGAGUAAUUAAAUCAACUGUCGCUCAAGAUUUUGCAAGGAAAAACAACCUUCAGUACUUUGAAUGUUCUGCGAAAGAAAAUUCUGGUGUGGAAGAACCUUUUUUCUACCUUGUCAACGAGUGGCACAGGAUGUAUUUAGAAAAAACUGAAUUCUUUAAAACUGUUUCCUGAAAUUUUCUAUUUGAUGCAAUAAUUCAUAUUUUAUGUACAGCGUUUGUUGUGUAAUAAAAAUUGUAACUUAAAAA